rnacentral:rRNA from 2 species
UGGUUGUCGUCAGCACGGGUCGUGAGAUGUUGGGUUAAGUCCCGCAACGAGUGCAACCCUUGAUCUUAGUUGCCAGCAUUCAGUUGGGCACUCUAAGAUGACUGCCGGUGACAAACCGGAGGAAGGUGGGGAUGACGUCAAAUCAUCAUGCCCCUUAUGACCUGGGCUACACACGUGCUACAAUGGACGGUACAAAGGGCUGCAAGACCGCGAGGUUUAGCCAAUCCCAUAAAACCGUUCUCAGUUCGGAUUGUAGGCUGCAACUCGCCUACAUGAAGCUGGAAUCGCUAGUAAUCGCGGAUCAG